UACAGAGGUCCCAAGCGUUGUUCGGAUUCAUUGGGCGUAAAGGGUGUGUAGGUGGCGCCGUAAGUCGGGUGUGAAAUUUCGGAGCUUAACUCCGAAACUGCAUUCGAUACUGCGGUGCUUGAGGACUGGAGAGGAGACUGGAAUUCAUGGUGUAGCAGUGAAAUGCGUAGAGAUCAUGAGGAAGACCAGUGGCGAAGGCGGGUCUCUGGACAGUUCCUGACACUGAGACACGAAGGCCAGGGGGAGCAAAACGGGG
rnacentral:rRNA from 1 species